ensembl:lncRNA
GGAAACCUCUUUGAAGUUUUGUUUUGGGCUGCUUUAUAUAUGUUUCAAAUAUUGUAAACUCCCUUAAAUACAUUCAGAACAUAGAUAGGGUAUAUAUCAUGAACAAAUCAACCUCAAAGGUACCAAAUAGUCCCUCCCACCUCUAUUAAAAUGCAGGUAUCAUGGGUCUCUUUUGGUAGAGGAUCCAUACUGUAUCAGAGACCUGCUAAAACAAUCCCCAGUGAUGUGGAAACUUGGAGAGUUUGAGCCAGAAUGAACCAUGAGCAAGGGCCUCAAGAAAGGAAGGAUGUAACAUUAUUAACUACUCGAAGUCCUAUGCCUGCCUUUUACGACCCACAGAUGCGGACUACACAGUGAAAUAAAGGGAAAGUCCUUCUCAAGCCACAACUGAGCCCAUGUCUUCUGGCAGCACCUGAGAGUUCUAAAGAGACAGGGGCCCAGAAGAGAAGCGCAGCUCAUCCUUCAUGUGACUAUUUAAGCUUGAACCAGGAAGGGUGACAACUGCAGGGGUGGCCACUGAGUUCCAUGGAUGGAAGCAGCACUGGGUCAUUGCUGUGGGACCCAGGAGAUGCUGGAAUUUCUUGGCCCUCUGUUGGACCCAAGCGCUGGCUUCUGCUUUCUGCCAGAACAAAACUUCUACUUCCCACCACUCUGCAGAGUCCCCAAGGCCGCCCUGGGCCAGAUGCUCCCCCAGAUGGUGAGCACAGGUGGACGGGGGCCACACCUGGCCAUGAGCUUCCAAUCAAGGACUGGGGACCAAGACAGGGGCCACGCAGCCGGGAGGCUCCAUCGCUCUGGAAGUCAUGGCAGGAGGGACAGUUGGUUAGAAGAACUUGAACUGGAAGCAAGCGAGACUGCAGGGGCAGCAAGGAGGGCUGCAGAGCUGCCAAGACAGGCUUCCAGGAUCAGAGGCAGAAGAGUCACAAUGGCCAUCUGUGAGAUCAGAGGUGAAGAAUCCAAAAUGGCGUUCUGCAUGCUGUGGAGCUGGAGGAUCCAGUAGCAAAGGCUGAAGGCCUGGAAGCUCACUGCAGAGUUGCUGGUGUGAGUCUACACUGGGAGGUAGAGUCUGCACGGGGAGACUGAAGAAACUGGAGACAAGCAUCCAAAGGCAAAGACAAAGACUGGAGCUCUUCUGCAAAAAGGACGGGCACACAUUUUCUUCUUUCCCUUUUUAUUCUGUUCAGGCUACUGGGGUGGGGUUCCCCCUUAGUUUCCUAGUGUACACAUCAGUCAUCCACUCACACACCCAGAACUCACUACUCUGCUAGUCUAUUCAAGUCAAAUUGACGUAGCACAAUUAAGGAUCACAGCACUUAAUUCAAUGUCAGGAACAGGCUGGUCCCUGAAUCUCUUGUUUUAGAAAAGGUUAUCAAAUUGAUUCUGAUGUACAGCUUGGAAACUACAAGCCUAAGCCAGACUGUUUCAUAAGAGAGGAAACCAGAUUCCAGAAAGUAGGAAAGGGAUUGCUGUGUCCUAGGUCAAUGCCAUGGAUAAGGGUUUUAGUAAUAGCAAGGUAUAUAGAGCCCAGGGUUGGUGGGGACUUCCCAUGUCACUCAGCCAAGAACAUACGUGAUGCUCAUGUGUCACCAAAACUUCGAUCAGCCUGACCUGUCAUUUUCUCUUUAUUUCCUAAAUUCCAUUCCCAUAAUGUAUGAUUACAGGCUUAUUAUAAAACAAUUACCACAGGUAAAUCAGGAUUCCCAGAACUUUUCCUUUAUAUUCGGUUACUUUUCCUUUUAUUUUGAGGGUUCAGGGAGGGCUUCCCAAAGACUAAGUUAUACUAUUAAAAAUCAUCUCAACUUAAUAUUAAACCUUACUUUUCUAUCUCUAUCAGUUAAUGGAUGAAAUCAUUGACUAGGACAGAGUACUAUUUGACACAAACACAGCUCUUGCCCACAUGGACACUGCUUGGGAAAUGCUGCUGAAUCUCUAUAGAGGGCCAGCAUUGGGCACAAGUCAACGUCCCCAGAGUUACACUCAACCCACUUUCCUAGGUUCUCCUUCUCCAUCAGGAGACACUGAGAGUCCAUGCUAAUUGCUUUACUGAAAUUAUGUCCAUUACAUUUAU